rnacentral:sRNA from 1 species
UUGGUCAAACACCAUGUUUUCAUUCAUUCAAAGAAGAACAAAUACACAUAGAAAGGUUUAAACAAACCAAAGUUUAGAACAAUAGAACAACAAGCAUUCCCCAAUGCCAUAAAAAGAAAAGAGAGGUUCAUCGAUUUUGAAACCAUGAGAGCUAUGCGACAAGGGCUUGGAGGCACAUUGAGACAAGUGAGAUCACGGUGAAUCGAGAGCUCAUCCUCGACAGAAUCGGAGGACGUUAAAGUAGUCAUAGUCGAUAGACAUUUUUGAAGUUGAAGAAGGAAUCAAUGCUAUGCUUCUCAGUGGAGUGAGAUGAGUUACCCAAGACAGUGCAAUAACAAUGAUUUGGGAGACUAUGGUUCUAUAGUCGAAUAAGGAUAGCUUUGAAACCCAAAGCAAAAGGUUUUGAUCUCUUCGGUAAAUCCCAUCAUGAUCUUUGAACCCUAGGAUCUGAAUGAGGGAGAUGGUGGUGAGGUUAAGAUACUUGAGAACGCCAGAAGAGCUGCAUGAUGAAGUGUCGACAUUGACCAAACGUAGCCCAAUACCACAGUUCAUACUCCGACAAAGCCGGUUUGAGAUAAGUAGAUCAAAGUUCUUCAAGAUUUUGGAAGCAAACCACAAGACCCUAAGACUAGCUAAUACCAGGAUUCGUAGAGAAUAUAUGCAAUGCCAAUUCACCAGAGAUGUUACCUCUCUCUCAUGGAGUCCACGACCAUGGAGUAAAGGAAGACGACUCAAGCAUUGAAUUGGGCUUAACAUAAUGGUUUUAAAAACUGACCUGGAGAUAUUAGCCUUAGAAGUUUUGGACAAGGUAAUGGGCUUGGGCUUUCUUUGAGAGAUAAGGCCCAAAAUUGAAACUAGGUCCAAUGGGGAAAACCCUAGUUUCAUUUUGGAGAGCCAAGACGGGAGAGGGGUGCGGCGGUUGUCCGAUGCUGGCGAAGAGAUAUGCGGUGAAUAGAUCAUCUCCGAUGAGAGUAGAAACAGCGGAAACAAACGAUGACCGUAGUCCAAAUAUAAGGCAAAGCUCCAUAGAUGACAAGCCUUUCCGGUGCGAAACUUCAUAUACCCAAAUGAAUGGUCACCGUGCGCCGUCGACGCCUCCUUCAAGCAAGGUGCAACUGACGGUUCAAGCUGGUGUGAGGAUUCUUCAAGGUUGUAAUGAAUUUCCAAAUAAUUGAAGUCCAAACUGAUGGAUUUAGGAAAUAAUCUUCGAUUAAAAUCGGAGGUUUCUGGGCAUAUAGAUCUGUCAAAGAAGCUGAGAUGCAGAGGUAAUAGAAGGGCUUUGUCAAAUCCCUCCUCUUUCCUUCUUCGAUUAAUGGGAGAGAGCGGCCCAGAUCCAAGGUGGGAAGAAACAGAUUGAGUAAAAGUGUUCGAGAUGGGUUAGAUUAAGGAACAAAAGAGGGGAAAAACUUCAAAAGGGGAAAAUUAAAACAGAAAACUAAAGAUGAGAAGAUUUGUCGAAGAAAGAAGAAGAGAAUAGGAUCCCGACGCCGGUGAGAACAAGCUACACUGGCGUCGGAAAAAGGUUGAAGGGGAGCUGCCUCGAUAGUUGUAACUGAGAGAGAAGACGAUGGCUUUGUUGAGGAUUGACUCUCUUAAUUCAAUAUAUAUGUCAAAUAAUUUUAAUAUAAUUUUAAAAUAUGAAAUACACUUGUUAGAUUUAGUAUUUUUUUUGUUAAACACUUAAUUCAAUAAUAUUGUGUUGUGCCUAUUUAUGAAUUUGAAAUUUUUAAAUUUUUUU